rnacentral:misc_RNA from 1 species
GGAGGAUUCAUGCUAUGUUAGAGAGCACACCUAGUAGAAUAAGUUUAACCUCUGAUUGUUGGUCUUCUUUGACCACCGAUGGAUAUAUAUGCUUAACUGCUCAUUUCAUUGAUAAGGAUUGACGUAUUCAAAAGAGAAUUCUGAAUUUUAGUUUUAUGCCACCUCCUCACACUGGCAUAUCAUUGUCUAAAAAAAUACACACUCUUUUGACUGAAUGGGGUAUUGAGAAGAAGAUUUUUUCAAUUACUUUGGAUAAUGCUUC